UUACCCUCGUACCUUUUGCAUCAUGAUUUAGCUAGUAACCUCAAGCAAAGAGCCCUUUAGUUUGAAACCCCGAAACUGAGUGAGCUACUCCAAGACAGCCUAUUAAUUAGGGCACACCCGUCUCUGUUGCAAAAGAGUGGGAAGAGCUUCGAGUAGAGGUGACAGACCAACCGAACCCAGUUAUAGCUGGUUGCCUGAGAAUCGAAUAUGAGUUCAGCCUCCCGGCUUCUUAACAAACCGAGAGAGUUAAUCAAAGGGGGUACAGCCCCUUUGAAACAAACACAGCUUUUGUAGGUGGGUAUAGAUCAUAUUAUUUAAGGAAACAUGCCCUAGUGGGCCUGAAAGCAGCCAUCCUUAUAGAAAGCGUUAAAGCUCAAGCAUACGAUUCCGAUAACCUUAUCUUAACCCCCUUAUCCUACCGGGCCCUUCUAUUUAAAUAGAAAAGACCAUGCUAAUAUGAGUAAUAAGAAAGACCUUUCUCACAGCACAUGUGUAAAUCGGAACGGACCAACCACCGACAAUUAACGAACCCAACCCCAGAGGGCAAUGAAGAAACACUAGAAAAGCCUUCACCGUUAACCCCACACAGGAGUGCAAUAAAUGAAAGACUAAAAGAAAGAGAAGGAACUCGGCAAAAAAGCCUCGCCUGUUUACCAAAAACAUCGCCUCU
rnacentral:rRNA from 1 species